UAACCCUGCGGAGUGCUCAGGUCCGCCGCAUCUCCUGGGUCCGUAGGGUUCGGCCGGCCGGAGGCGGCUAGAGUGGCCUCCUCGUAUAGGUCGUCUUCGGUCGGCCACCUC
rnacentral:sRNA from 1 species